UACGUAGGGUGCGAGCGUUGUCCGGAAUUACUGGGCGUAAAGAGCUCGUAGGUGGUUUGUCGCGUUGUUCGUGAAAUCUCACGGCUUAACUGUGAGCGUGCGGGCGAUACGGGCAGACUAGAGUACUGCAGGGGAGACUGGAAUUCCUGGUGUAGCGGUGGAAUGCGCAGAUAUCAGGAGGAACACCGGUGGCGAAGGCGGGUCUCUGGGCAGUAACUGACGCUGAGGAGCGAAGGCUAGGGGAGCGAACGGG
rnacentral:rRNA from 1 species